CCUUUAAGUUCUUUAAAAUUCAAAAAAUAUAAAUGUGAAUUUGGAGCUUUGGUUUUUUGAGCGACUUAUUUAUUAUCUGAAGAAAUAAUCAAAUAAGAGUUUGAUUCAAUUUAGCUUGUUCAAUUCAGAGCUGGUGAAAACAGGGCAAUGAAGUUUGAUUUAAGUAAUGCUGUUUGAAUUCAGCUUGAAUGGAUUUCAUCAUAUUGUACUGAAUUUUUUAAUUACCUCUCAUUUUUAUGAACUUCCUUAAGUGAGUCGUAACAGAUGCUAAAUUGACAGAGACACUUUUUUUAUAGGUAGGACCAAAUAAAAAUAGUGUAAAAAAACUUGUAAGGAAAAAUGAUUUUAUUAAUGUAUCCUUGGUGUGUUCUUGAGAGAUGUUCAUCAGUAUUCAGUGAAAGUUUCACCCUUUUAUAGUAUUUCCACUGACACUUGUCGCUUUUGAUAUGUCUGAACCCUUCAAAUGUGGUAAGAAAUGGAGGAAGCUGUUCAUGUUUAUUCACAAAAUAAAUGGAAUGGAUCAAGUAUAUUUCAUAAAAGUUGGCAUUCUCUCAAGUCAACAGCCAGAAAAUUUAAUGCCAGCAAUCUGUCAUAUAUAUAUGAUGCAUCUUUUUUCUCCAAAUAGGAGUUGAGAGAGGUCAGUGUAUUAUGUUCUGGUUUUUGCAAAUGCGUUUUUUCAUUAAUGGUUCACAGUAUGUUGUCUGAGUUGAACAUACUUGGAUUUACUCAUUAUAAACAGCAUUUGCAGAAACAGAAGAACACGUCGUUUCCCUGAAGAAGUGAGUGGAACUGCUGCCUGGAAACCAGUCACAUAGCAACAGACUGAUUUCUAUUCCAAAACUCUUUCCAAAACAGAAGAAAUACCAGGACUUCAUGGAGAAUAAAGUGUUGCCAUGGAAGAGUGGAUCUCCCUCAAGUGUGAGGUUUCCAUAACUUGAAAAGCUUUUUAGAGAUUAUAGUAAAUCUUUGCAAAACUCAGCAGGCAGGACCAGGAAAGACCACACUGAAGUGACUGAAAUGGAAUGGAAGCAGAAUUUGUUUGUUCUCUGUGUGGAAGAAAACCAGGUCAAUCCUGUAGAUUAAAUCAGAAGAAUGGAACUGAAGAAUAUGGUUGUAGACAAAAUUCUCAGGAUCCUUAGGAAAUUAAUGAAAUGAAGAUUGGACAGAUCUCUGAAAGAGAAGGUGACUCAUUGAAUAUGACCAUGAAAGAAGAGACUGGCUUCUGGAGAAGAGCUGAAUUACUUCACAUGAGAGAAAAUGGGUCAGCAGAAGGAGAUGAGUUGUCAAGAAGGAAGAAUAACAAAGUACAAAAGGAGAAAUGGAUAAUUGGCAGAGACUGGAGCCUUUGGAAAAAUGGCAUGAGUAGAAGAUGAAUGAUACCAAAGAAGGGAAGGAAUUAGACUCCCAUUGUUGCUUUCUGUAAGUACUCCUGAACAUAAAUAUCAAUGACAGGAAUAAAAUUCAGAAUUAAAAGACCAUAUACAUACACACACAAAAGGAUAUAAAUACAGUUAGAUUGACUCUUAGAAGUCAUGGAUAGCUUUGGAAGAAAGAGCUGCUGGAAUGGCCUUUCAGUAUUAAUGGUAGGAACAAAAAUCUUUUAAGACAGCUAGAGCAGUUUGGGAAACUAGACUUGAUGCAUUUAGUGGCAGUGGAGGUUACUGUAGAAUGUGAAAUCUUCCUGUUUGCUUUGCAAAAUUCUUUACAGUGAUAUAAAGCAUGGUCUAAAUCUGAGAACAUCAUUCAUGAAAAAAACAAAAUGCAAUCUAUAUUAACAGUAAACAGUUUGUUUAGUCUAUCAGUGAUGACAUCUUCUGGCUUGCUGUAGCUUCAGCUCUUAUCUGAGAGCACAAAACACUCAUAAGAGGCCUGGCCUGUUAAGUUUGUGGUGUGUCUCCCUGGAGAUUUUUCUGGGAGGGUCCUUUGAGAUGCACAGUGGAGUAAGAAAAAGGACUUUAAAAAUAUCUAGAUUUGGCUACAUUGAAGCCCAUUUAUGUUGCUCUAUCUUUAUGUAUAUUUAGUUUGAGAAGAGAGAGACUUCUGUAUUACGAAGAAUAGCAAAAGUUUAAAGCUUAGUUUUGUUUUGAUUCUGAAAAAAUCCCCAACCCGUAUUCUAAAUUCUCCCAGUUACUGAAAUCUUUACAGAUGCUGUUUACAACGGUUGAUAUAGGAACUGAGGGACUGAGGCCACAGGUGGUUCCAGUGACACCUGACGGCAGGAUCUCUGUGACAUCUGCAUGAUGGAAAGCACGAGGGCUUUUCCCAUCUCAGGAUCUGGCCAGCCUGGGGGGCUGAAAGACCAGGCAGUGCUGCAAGACACUCUGCAACACAUUCUUCAAUGAUGGAGGGAGGGAGCUGACAGGGGGCCAUGCACAUUGCCAGGGGACUGUCACUUCAGUCUGCACAUGAUCAGUUUGUUACCUGCACAUUAGCUCUCAUACUGACAGCUGAGAUCUGACUUUUGUUUUCAGUCACAACUCCAAAGACAGCUGAAUGGUUCAAAACUGGCUGGGAGAGACUAUCCUAUGGAAAUGCCUUUCAAUUUUGUGAGUCCAAAAGUCAACCCAGGAAUCCUUUUCUAGGUUGAUCAGUUUAAUGCUCUUACUAAGGGCUAGAAAAUGUUUGUACCACUGAGAUUAUGUU